GAUGAACGCUGGCGGCGUGCCUAAUACAUGCAAGUCGAGCGAACAGACGAGGAGCUUGCUCCUCUUACGUUAGCGGCGGACGGGUGAGUAACACGUGGAUAACCUACCUAUAAGACUGGGAUAACUUCGGGAAACCGGAUCUAAUACCGGAUAAUAUAUUGAACCUCAUGGUUCAAUAGUGAAAGACGGUUUUGCUGUCACUUAUAGAUGGAUCCGCGCCGCAUUAGCUAGUUGGUAAGGUAACGGCUUACCAAGGCAACGAUGCGUAGCCGACCUGAGAGGGUGAUCGGCCACACUGGAACUGAGACACGGUCCAGACUCCUACGGGAGGCAGCAGUAGGGAAUCUUCCGCAAUGGGCGAAAGCCUGACGGAGCAACGCCGCGUGAGUGAUGAAGGUCUUCGGAUCGUAAAACUCUGUUAUUAGGGAAGAACAAAUGUGUAAGUAACUAUGCACGUCUUGACGGUACCUAAUCAGAAAGCCACGGCUAACUACGUG
rnacentral:rRNA from 1 species